UUCUUUUUUGUUCUUUCGUUUCCGGACGCCUCCUUGCGGAGUUUUAAGUUUUAAUCGGCAGCUCCUUCAUUUGUCUUUCUUCGUCAGGUUUUCUGCGUCGUUUAACCCCGUGAUCCUGGUGAGUGAUGAAAAGGUCUUGCUGUUUUCAAGGGGCAUUCCUUUGUGACCUCUGGCGAGCCAAAUCUCCGUGGAUGAGGAGGUCUUGCUGUUUUCAAGGGGCAUUCCUUUGUGACCUCUGGCAAGCCAAAUCUCCGUGGUCAGCAGAGUUGUGUGGAUGUGGUGCGACGUGAAACACUGCAACAAGGCCCUUUUCGCAGUGUUGAAGUCUUGGUGCUCCGUGAAAUGACUGUGAGGUGCCAGCUCUGGCGACAACGGCAGUAGUUGUGUGCCUUUGAACGCCUUCUUACGGUGUUGAAAGGUGCACAAUCCUGUGAAAUGUUAGCAUUGACAAAGAGCAGUGGUGGUGUGCAUUUGAUUUUCUUUGUCUCAGCACUGAAAGUGUGGUGCUCCUGUAAGGUGUCAGUGUUGGUGACAAAAGCAGCAGCAACCUGUCUUUCGAUGUCUUGUCACAGUGUUGAAAGCUUGGUGCUUCCUGAGAAGUGAUUGUGAGGUGUUGGCAUUGGCAAAUGUACCAAUAUCUAUGAGUAAUAAGGUGAAACUUUGGAGGGGGUUCGGUUUUGAAUUGUUUCAGAAGAUUCCAAAACCCUAUGGAUGAAAUUUCGGUUGUUUGAAGAUUUGGCAGUUUUGUCGCAAUCUAGCCAACAUGGCAUCAUUCAUUUUGGUUUUGUGGACGUUGCGAGUGUUUAAAGUCUUUAAACCUCGA